rnacentral:rRNA from 1 species
CGGCCGCGGUAUCCUGACCGUGCAAAGGUAGCAUAAUCACUUGUUCCUUAAUUAGGGACUAGCAUGAAUGGCCAAACGAGGAUUCAACUGUCUCUUAUUUUUAANUCAGUGAAAUUGACCUUUCAGUGAAGAGGCUGAAAUACUAAAAUAAGACGAGAAGACCCUAUGGAGCUUAAAUUAAAAGUUUAACUUUACUCCCAUCAACCUAAUGGUAUAACACAAAAAUCCUAAACUUUAAAUUUCGGUUGGGGUGACCUCGGAGAACAAAAAAUCCUCCGAAUGAUUUUAACAUAGACCAACAAGUCAAAGUAACACAAAAAUCUUAUUGACCCAAAAAUUUUUUUGAUCAACGGACCAAGUUACCCUAGGGAUAACAGCGCAAUCCUAUUUUAGAGUCCAUAUCGACAAUAGGGUUUACGACCUCGAUGUUGGAUCAGGACAUCCCAAUGGCGCA